UGAGUAACCUGCCCUUAACUCUGGGAUAAGCCUGGGAAACUGGGUCUAAUACCGGAUAUGACUCCUCAUCGCAUGGUGGGGGGUGGAAAGCUUUAUUGUGGUUUUGGAUGGGCUCGCGGCCUAUCAGCUUGUUGGUGAGGUAAUGGCUCACCAAGGCGACGACGGGUAGCCGGCCUGAGAGGGUGACCGGCACACUGGGACGUGAGACGACGGCCCGACGACUCCGUACGGGAGGC
rnacentral:rRNA from 1 species